AGCCGAAACGCCUCGGCGGAUCGCCGGCGCGUCGCGGCGGGUGGUUCCCGCCGCCUGAAGAUGGCAGCCACGC
rnacentral:hammerhead_ribozyme from 1 species